rnacentral:rRNA from 1 species
UACGAGGGGGGCAAGCGUUAUUCGGAAUUAUUGGGCGUAAAGGGCGCGUAGGCGGCCUGAUAAGUCAAAGGUGAAAUCCCUCGGCUCAACUGAGGAAUUGCCUUUGAAACUGUCAGGCUUGAGGCCGGGAGGGGGUGGCGGAAUUCCCAGUGUAGCGGUGAAAUGCGUAGAUAUUGGGAGGAACACCAGUGGCGAAGGCGGCCACCUGGACCGGUUCUGACGCUGAUGCGCGAAAGCGUGGGGAGCAAACAGG